rnacentral:rRNA from 1 species
CCUACGGGUGGCAGCAGUGGGGAAUAUUGGACAAUGGGCGAAAGCCUGAUCCAGCCAUGCCGCGUGUGUGAAGAAGGCCUUCGGGUUGUAAAGCACUUUCAGUGGGGAAGAAAGCCUUGGGGCUAAUACCCUCGAGGAAGGACAUCACCCACAGAAGAAGCACCGGCUAACUCCGUGCCAGCAGCCGCGGUAAUACGGAGGGUGCGAGCGUUAAUCGGAAUUACUGGGCGUAAAGCGCGCGUAGGCGGUCUGAUAAGCCGGUUGUGAAAGCCCCGGGCUCAACCUGGGAACGGCAUCCGGAACUGUCAGGCUAGGGUGCAGGAGAGGAAGGUAGAAUUCCCGGUGUAGCGGUGAAAUGCGUAGAGAUCGGGAGGAAUACCAGUGGCGAAGGCGGCCUUCUGGACUGACACUGACGCUGAGGUGCGAAAGCGUGGGUAGCAAACAGGAUAGAUACCCGUGUAGUC